rnacentral:rRNA from 1 species
AUUGAACGCUGGCGGCAGGCCUAACACAUGCAAGUCGAACGGUAACAGGAAACAGCUUGCUGUUUCGCUGACGAGUGGCGGACGGGUGAGUAAUGUCUGGGAAACUGCCUGAUGGAGGGGGAUAACUACUGGAAACGGUAGCUAAUACCGCAUAACGUCGCAAGACCAAAGAGGGGGACCCUCGGGCCUCUUGCCAUCAGAUGUGCCCAGAUGGGAUUAGCUUGUUGGUGGGGUAACGGCUCACCAAGGCGACGAUCCCUAGCUGGUCUGAGAGGAUGACCAGCCACACUGGAACUGAGACACGGUCCAGACUCCUACGGGAGGCAGCAGUGGGGAAUAUUGCACAAUGGGCGCAAGCCUGAUGCAGCCAUGCCGCGUGUAUGAAGAAGGCCUUCGGGUUGUAAAGUACUUUCAGCGGGGAGGAAGGGAGUAAAGUUAAUACCUUUGCUCAUUGACGUUACCCGCAGAAGAAGCACCGGCUAACUCCGUG